CAGUCGCCGCGGUAAUACGAAGGGUGCAAGCGUUAAUCGGAAUUACUGGGCGUAAAGCGUGCGUAGGCGGUUUGUUAAGUCUGCUGUGAAAUCCCCGGGCUCAACCUGGGAAUGGCAGUGGAUACUGGCAAGCUAGAGUGUGUCAGAGGAUGGUGGAAUUCCCGGUGUAGCGGUGAAAUGCGUAGAGAUCGGGAGGAACAUCAGUGGCGAAGGCGGCCAUCUGGGACAACACUGACGCUGAGGCACGAAAGCGUGGGGAGCAAACAGGAUUAGAUACCCUAGUAGUCCCUGUCUCUUAUAA
rnacentral:rRNA from 1 species